CCGACUAUCUUCUCAUCCCAAUUGGAUCCAGCUCUCCUCUCUCUAACUGCACGAGACCUGAAUCAUGUUUAAAGUUGCUGAUGGGAUGGCACGGAGCAUGGCAUGGCCUCGGGGUUGGACAAGGUGUGAAACAAUGGUGGUGUGGGCGUUGGCAAAGGCUCCUCAGUUGAAGGACAGUCGGCUCAGUCUGGUUCUCUCAUGGCUGGCACCGUCUCACAGCUCUGGAUGCAGCCUGUCCUGGGAUCACACACAAGUAUCAUCGGAGCAGACGUGUCUUGGCCGAGCCCGUGUCACGGCGUCCUCAGUGAUGCCUUCUUGUGUUUCUCGUUUGUCGGCUCUGGAACACGCAGCUCACACACACACUCAGUGUUCACUUUAUGAAUCUGACCGUUUUACUAAAGUAAUGAGAUGAAGUGUCUCUUCUGAUUGAGACUCUGUCUGAUGACAUCAGCGCUUAUCUUUACCGUAUAAAUAAUGAUAUUCAUCCUGACUGAGGAUUAUUUUCAGUUGUGAAAGUCAGCGGUUCUUUACUUACAGUCUAACACACAGAUCAUGGUGAUGCUUGUCUGAUAUGAAGCCAACUCAACUCCCUUAUUUGGUUUGAACGUUCCACAGCUCGGUCUGCACACAGACGGAGAUGUAGAAGGAAACAACUUUAUCUGGAUGGCGCUCUUGAGUUGGGUUUCUGUUGGACUGUAGGGAGGACGUCACACCAGGAAAGGUUUGAUCAAUGAUAUUUGCAUACGUCGCUGCGACAAACCAGAAUAUUUAGAGGAACAGAUGCUGAACUAGAGAAGGAUAUUAGAUGUGUCCCUGACUAUUCAACCUUUAGCUCUGCUAUGAACACUGCUUCCCUGUGUCAUCUAACCAGGCCUCUCAAUUGUGUGUAUUUAAAUUGUCUUCAUCAGUGUCUUCAUCAAACAGAGUCUUCUGUGACAACUCAAAUCUUUGUUUUCAAAAAGUGCUUCUAAUCCAAACUAAUGUACGUUCCCUUGUUCUUCUUCCAUCCUUUGACUCAUACACGGUCGUACAGACAGAUGGAAACUAUUUCACUCAUAAUUUGUGAUUGUUUUUUCUGACAUCACUCGCAGGCUUGUGGUUAUUUUUGGAAAAUCCCUGAACAAAUUGACACCACGCCCAACUUUCAGCAACAGUUUACGAUGAUGUCAAUGAUGCUGUACGUUCACUAUGGGACAUAUUUGCUUUUACACUGAUGCAAGUGUCUUUCCUAUAGAAUGUGGAAGUGAAACCUGCCUUUGUGUCCGUAUCAUAGGCUCCGCCCUCCCCCUCUUUUGUGUUAAAUAAAGCACGACUCAAACUCGCCGAUAGACAUGUCACGCAUAGAUUUUAUGAUGACAUUCAAAGCCACAAUGUCACCAUCUCAUUUAAGGCCUUAAGGUACAAAUGAGUCAUUUCAUUCGUCUCAGAAUGAGUUUUUACACCAUGGAAAACCAAUAGAUCACUUUAGUCAUUGUGUAAAUCUCAACGGCUGAACCUAAGAAACUCAAUGUGAUGCUAUCGAUCAGAUGGAGAGAUUAGCAUGCAAAUGACCCUCAUAGAUCAUCUUUCUGAGCAUAGGGUAAUGGCUGCUGAAUGAUACUUAUCAAGCUCCGUAAGUGCUCCCUCCAAUAAUACAUCAUUCAGGUCAUUUGUAUUGGGAUUGGAGAGUUGAUGGAUAUGGGAUUACCACUUAACCUUGGAGUCAUUCCAAGACUCAGCUUAAAUCUUCUAAUACAUUAUCUGUCCCAUAACAGCUUGACCAGUGUUUAAUGCAAAAAUGUGUUUUAUGUGAUGAAUGAAACUGGAGGUUUGAGAGAGCGAUUCAUCACACACGGAUAAAGUCAUGACAGGAACAUCCUUUUAUUUUCACUGUGCACCUGAACUCUAACUGUCACCCUCACAGACAGACAGACAGACAGACAGACAUGACACACGCCUCCUGCUAACAAAGAAAACUAAGAUAACGUAAUCCUCAGAAACAGAGUUGUUAUGUGUUUAGUGUAAUGUGACACUUCUAAUAACAUGAUCACAUGUUUGUUGAGAGUCGCUGGUCGAUGUUGUGAGAAGCUCAUUCCUUCUCUGAAAACGGUCAAACAUGAGGAAGAUUACACACAUGUUUCAUAUUGUGAGUAAAAAUGUCACUAUUGUCUCCUAAAAUGUAUAUUCCUACACAAAUAAUCAAUCAUUUCUGAAAAUAACUUUAUAGAGCGUACUUAUCAAUGUAGUCGUGUUAUAUUUUCUCCUGAUGAAAAAACCAGUGUGUGUUUGAAUGUUUUUUCUUCAUCUGUUCCAUGUAAAAACACAUCAAAUGUCCUCAUAGAGUCAUUAAAACACUCUUAACCUGAUCUUCCUUAUGAACAUUCAUCUGAUUUCAUUUGUUUAGUUGAGUGAAAAAAGUGCACACAUACAAUCUGGUUGCCAUUGUAGCUGGCAUGCUAACACGUGCUAAUUAGCACUGGGCACAAAGAAUGAACGAUGUAGCGACAAGUUGACGAGUCAUCAUCAAAGUUGUGAAAUUCCACCGUGUGGACGUCAUAAAUGUCUGAACUCAAUUCAACAACUCACCAAAUAUUUAAGUAGUAAAAAAAAAACACAUUAAAAGGAAAAUGGUGUUUCUGAAGGAAAAAGUCGGCCAUCAUCAAAGUCCAUGGACGUCCUCUGGGGAAUGUAAAAAAGACUGAGAAUUGUGUGUGUGUGUGUGUGUGUGUGUUACACACACCCUCAUAGACACAACGCACUCCCUCGACCCUUAACCUAACUUUAACCAUCACUAAUAAGUUUCCUAACACUAACUCUAACCCUAAAACCAGGUCUAAACCCCCAAAAAGACCUUUAAAGAAGUCCG